rnacentral:tRNA from 1 species
GUCCGUUUUAUUCAACGGAAGAACACCUGUUUUACAGGCAGGAGAAGGGGGUUCAAAUCCCUCAACGGGCA